AGCGGCUCUUGGGAGGCUGCGUCCGCACGCCGGCGGGGCGAGGCGGCCCGGCCCUGCGCGUCAGGCCUGAGACCUGGGAGGAAGCUGGAGAAAAGAUGCCCUCUGAAUCUUUGUGUUUGGCUGCCCGGGCUCGCCUCGACUCCAAAUGGUUGAAAACAGAUAUACAGAUGGAGUCUUGCUCUGUUGCCCAGGCUGGAGUGCAGUGGUGCCAUCUUGGCUCACUGCAAGCUCUGCCUCCUGGGUUCAUGCCAUUGUCCUGCCUCAGCCUCCUGAGUAGCUGGAACUAUAGACGUCCACCAUCAUACCUGGUGAAUUUUUGUAUUUUUAGUAGAGACGGGGUUUUACCAUGUUAGCCAAGAUGGUCUCCAUCUUCUGACCUCGUGAUCCACCCACCUCGGCCUCUUAGAGUGCUUGGGAUUACAGGCGUAAGCCACCACUCCCGGCCGAUAUAUUGCUUUAUGAAAAUUAUACUGGAUCUGUUACAGAUGAUAGUGUUGAACCAAGUGGAACAAAGAAAGAAGAUCUGGAUGACAGAGAGAAAAAAGAUGAAACUCCUGCACCUGUAUAUGGGGCCAAGUCAAUUCUGGAGAGCUGGGUAUGGAGUAAGCAACCAGGUAAUCUUUGAUCAGAGAUAGAAAUUAGUGUAGACAUUUUGCCUCCAGAUCCUCAAGUGGUUUUAGAAAUUGGUUCUCUAAUUCUGUGGGAGAAGGUUGAUACUGGUAUAGUCUUACACGUCAUUGAAACUGGAAAAGAUAGCUAGAUAUUCUCCUACUCAUGUUUUGGAUAAUGAGAUAAAUUAUUUUAUGCUUCACACACUUGGAGUAUGUCAUCUACUGUAAUAUAGUAUCUGAAUGAAUACUUUAAAUAAAAUACAUUUCUGUAAAUUAAUUGUAUACUUUAAAAAUCUGUGAAUAAAUUUGAGUAGCAAGUCUCAGAAGCUUGAUUCUAAAUAUUAAAGAUACAUCCUUCCUUGGGAGGGAGCAUGUAGCAAAUGUGUUACUGUGAUUGUAAGCAUGCUGUCUUUCUGGAGGUCGCUUCGUUCCUGCAUCCACUGUUUUCAUUUCAGGGAUGUUCACGGAAUACCAGGCACUAAAGGGCCAGAAUCAUCCCCCUACAGGACCAGCACUUGGCCCUGGCCAUCCUGCUGGAGCUGGCUGUGCAGAGAGGCAUGCUGAGGUGAGGGCUGGUGCAGACCGGGAAUGCUUUGGGGAAGCGCCUCUGUAUCCAAAUACCUGUUGCAUUGUGUGCGUUUCACUGAAUCGUGUGACUGCAGCAGGUGUGGUGCUCUACAGAGAACCAUGUCCCAGGGCUCUCUCUUUUCCUUUUCUUCACUUCCUGUUUUAUGCUCAGUUUUCUAGCCUGGGAACUGUUCUUCUUUUUUUUUCUUUCAGUUUUCCUCAUUUAAUUAUUUUUAUUCCAUGAAUUUAAGACCCUAGAUCUUCAUGUAAAUGUGCUCUUUGAGCUUCUUAACUGGUCUUUCCUAUCAGCAGAAGGCGAUGUCUUGUGCUAAAAUCUCAGUGUCAAUUCAGUGAUUUAACUACCACGGCUUUACUUUCGUUUCCUUUCAUAUCCCAAGUAUUUCUUCACUUCUAUCUAGCUGUUUGCUUUUAUUUUUGAUCAACCAUGAAAAAAAAAAAAGUUAAUCUGUUUUUACUAGGAAUAAAUAUGUUUUCUUCUUUAGCCAAAUGUUGUCUGCCAUCCUGUUGUUGCUUCAGCUGUGGGACAGCGGGGCACAGGAGACUGACAAUGAGCGUUCCGCCCAGGGCACCAGCGCCCCGCUUUUGCCCUUGCUGCAAAGGUUCCAGAGCAUCAUUUGCAGGAAGGAUGCACCCCACUCCGAGGGCGACAUGCACGUGAGUGUCAUGAUGGAACUUUGUGUUUAGGUGGCACUCGAGUCUAGUUAUUUUUUACGCAAGACCAGCGUGCUUGUGCAUGGCAGUGUUUUUCUCUGGUGUCUGUGUGUUUGGUGGUAACAGCAGCGAGUCAGAUGAGACAGGUGUGGGAGGCCACUUGUUUGUGGAGAAGACUCAGAUCAGUGCGCGCCGACUUCCUUGUCAGCACAGAACCAAGCUUGAAACAUGCACUUUUAAAUCAAUACCAGAAAAGAACAACGAAAAUAGUGGCUUGCUUUGUUGGCCCUUCCUUUGUACUGGGCUCUGUGCAGGGCAUGUCACCUGAGCUGUCACUGUGUUUAGUACCAGCCCCCCCCUUAAUAGGUGUGGACGUCUUCCUGAACAGCCUGAAGCAGACGGUGGUGACCCUGGCAAGCAGCGCAGACGUGCUGAGCACCGAGCAGUCGGCCUCCCAGGCCAUGCUGCAGAGCGGCUGGUCCAUGCUGUUGCCCACCGCUGAGAAGCAGGCCCGGGCACUCUGCUCUCCUGCCCUGCGGAGUUUCAGGCAAUGAAGUGAGCAUAAGUCCAGGUCAUCGAUUGGUGAUUGAUCUUCUGGUGGGCAGCUUGAUGGCUGCUGGAGGGUUGGAGUCAGCCUUACACGCAGCCAUUACUGCAGAGAUCCAGGAUACAAAAAAAGAAGCACGGAAGGAAAAAGAAAUUUAUGAACAGGAAGCAAAUGCCUCAACAUUUCAUAGAAGGAGGACUCCAUUGGAUAAAGGCCUUAUUAAUACGGGGAUCUGUGAGUCUUCUGGCAAACAGUGUUUGCCUCUGGUUCAGCUCAUACAACAGCUUCUUAGGUAAAUCAUAUUAGCUGUAUUGUAUUGUGUUUUAUUUAUUUACUUUUUUGUUUUUUGAGACAGAGUUUCGCUCUUGUUGCCCAGGCCGGAGUGCAGUGGUGCGAUCUUGACUCACUGCAACCUCCGCCUCCCAGGUUCAAGUAAUUCCUCUGCCUCAGCCUCUCGAGCAGCUGGGAUUACAGGCAUGCGCCACCAUGCCCCACUAAUUUUGUAGUUUUGUUAGAGACAGGGUUUCUUCAUGUUGGUCAGGCCGGUCUUGAACUCCCGACCUCAGGUGGUCCAUCCACUUUGGCCUCCCAAAAUGUUGGGAUUACAGGCAUUAGCCACCACGCCUGGCCUAUUUAUUUACUUAUUAAUGGUGUUUUUUUUUUGUUUUUUUUUUUUUUGAGAUGGAGUCUUGCUCUAUCGUCCAGGCUGGAGUGCAGUGUCACGAUCUUGGCUCACUGCAACCCCCGCCUCCUGGGUUCAAGCUAUUCUCCUGCCUCAGCCUCCCGAGUAGCUGGGACUACAGGCGUCUGCAACCACACCUGGCUGAUUUUUGUAUUUUUAGUAGAGAUGGGGUUUUACCAUAUUGGUCAGGCUGGUCUCAAAUUCCUGACGUCAGGUGACCCACCUGCCUUGGCCUCUCAAAAUGUUGGGAUUACAGGUGUUAGCCACUGUGCCUGGCCUGUAUUGUAUUUUAAUAGGUGAUUAUUGGUUUUCAUAUUAAGAUAGUGAAAUCUAGCGCAAGGAUCUCAAAAAUUUGUUUGAUGAUUGAAGGAAUAUUCUGAAAAUUACCUAGUAUAGAUGUUAGGAUAAAGAGCAGACCCUUUUCAAUAUAGGUGAGAGGAGAAGUUGGAGGGUGUGAUGAUACUCAAAAGUUUUUCACUGAAGAGAAAUUGGGGCGUGCAGUAAACAUGUAAAAAGAUUCUUACUAAUAAGCAGGUGGAUGCAAAUGAAAAUCAUCAUGGAAGGUUAUUUUUAAAACUGGUUCUAUCAUUGCCUCACUUUAUAUAUUACAGAGUUAUACAUACUACUUUGUAAGAUAACUUUUCUUUUCAAAACUGAAGUCAAUGUGAUAGAAUGGUGAGCAUUAUUUUGGAAGGCCAGACUAGGAGGAGGUGGGAGGAAGAAGUCAGACUCAGCCUGUGAACAGACGCUAACCUUGGCAGAAGCCAAAACAGUCAGACAGUGUUGUCUAAAAAUGAUCAUUCAAGAAGAGCGAAACAGCAAGGUGAUUUGUGAAAGAGAUUUAUUAGAAAAUGAAACACAUUUAUACCUCUGUUCAAUAAAAAUCUGCUUUUCGUCAA